CCGGGAGAUAGCUGGUUCUCCCCGAAAGCUAUUUAGGUAGCGCCUCGUGAAUUCAUCUCCGGGGGUAGAGCACUGUUUCGGCUAGGGGGCCAUCCCGGCUUACCAACCCGAUGCAAACUGCGAAUACCGGAGAAUGUUAUCACGGGAGACACACGGCGGGUGCUAAUGUCCGUCGUGAAGAGGGAAACAACCCAGACCGCCAGCUAAGGUCCCAAAGUCAUGGUUAAGUGGGAAACGAUGUGGGAAGGCCCAGACAGCCAGGAUGUUGGCUUAGAAGCAGCCAUCAUUUAAAGAAAGCGUAAUAGCUCACUGGUCGAGUCGGCCUGCGCGGAAGAUGUAACGGGGCUAAACCAUGCACCGAAGCUGCGGCAGCGACACCGUGUGUUGUUGGGUAGGGGAGCGUUCUGUAAGCCUGUGAAGGUGUGCUGUGAGGCAUGCUGGAGGUAUCAGAAGUGCGAAUGCUGACAUAAGUAACGAUAAAGCGGGUGAAAAGCCCGCUCGCCGGAAGACCAAGGGUUCCUGUCCAACGUUAAUCGGGGCAGGGUGAGUCGACCCCUAAGGCGAGGCCGAAAGGCGUAGUCGAUGGGAAACGGGUUAAUAUUCCCGUACUUGGUGUUACUGCGAAGGGGGGACGGAGAAGGCUAUGUUGGCCGGGCGACGGUUGUCCCGGUUUAAGCGUGUAGGUAUGUGUUCCAGGUAAAUCCGGUUCACUUUAACACUGAGGCGUGACGACGAGGCACUACGGUGCUGAAGCAACAAAUGCCCUGCUUCCAGGAAAAGCCUCUAAGCAUCAGGUAACAUCAAAUCGUACCCCAAACCGACACAGGUGGUCAGGUAGAGAAUACCAAGGCGCUUGAGAGAACUCGGGUGAAGGAACUAGGCAAAAUGGUGCCGUAACUUCGGGAGAAGGCACGCUGACACGUAGGUGAAGUGAUUUACUCACGGAGCUGAAGUCAGCCGAAGAUACCAGCUGGCUGCAACUGUUUAUUAAAAACACAGCACUGUGCAAACACGAAAGUGGACGUAUACGGUGUGACGCCUGCCCGGUGCCGGAAGGUUAAUUGAUGGGGUCAGCGCAAGCGAAGCUCCUGAUCGAAGCCCCGGUAAACGGCGGCCGUAACUAUAACGGUCCUAAGGUAGCGAAAUUCCUUGUCGGGUAAGUUCCGACCUGCACGAAUGGCGUAAUGAUGGCCAGGCUGUCUCCACCCGAGACUCAGUGAAAUUGAACUCGCUGUGAAGAUGCAGUGUACCCGCGGCAAGACGGAAAGACCCCGUGAACCUUUACUAUAGCUUGACACUGAACAUUGAGCCUUGAUGUGUAGGAUAGGUGGGAGGCUUUGAAGUGUGGACGCCAGUCUGCAUGGAGCCGACCUUGAAAUACCACCCUUUAAUGUUUGAUGUUCUAACGUGGACCCGUGAUCCGGGUUGCGGACAGUGUCUGGUGGGUAGUUUGACUGGGGCGGUCUCCUCCUAAAGAGUAACGGAGGAGCACGAAGGUUGGCUAAUCCUGGUCGGACAUCAGGAGGUUAGUGCAAUGGCAUAAGCCAGCUUGACUGCGAGCGUGACGGCGCGAGCAGGUGCGAAAGCAGGUCAUAGUGAUCCGGUGGUUCUGAAUGGAAGGGCCAUCGCUCAACGGAUAAAAGGUACUCCGGGGAUAACAGGCUGAUACCGCCCAAGAGUUCAUAUCGACGGCGGUGUUUGGCACCUCGAUGUCGGCUCAUCACAUCCUGGGGCUGAAGUAGGUCCCAAGGGUAUGGCUGUUCGCCAUUUAAAGUGGUACGCGAGCUGGGUUUAGAACGUCGUGAGACAGUUCGGUCCCUAUCUGCCGUGGGCGCUGGAGAACUGAGGGGGGCUGCUCCUAGUACGAGAGGACCGGAGUGGACGCAUCACUGGUGUUCGGGUUGUCAUGCCAAUGGCACUGCCCGGUAGCUAAAUGCGGAAGAGAUAAGUGCUGAAAGCAUCUAAGCACGAAACUUGCCCCGAGAUGAGUUCUCCCUGAGACUUUAGGUCUCCUGAAGGAACGUUGAAGACGACGACGUUGAUAGGCCGGGUGUGUAAGCGCAGCGAUGCGUUGAGCUAACCGGUACUAAUGAACCGUGAGGCUUAACCUUACAACGCCGAAG
rnacentral:rRNA from 1 species